rfam:Trichobilharzia regenti genome assembly, scaffold: TRE_scaffold0000527
GUACUGCUGAAGAGUCCCAGACUAGGACGUGGGAAACAGCUGUCAAGUAC